UCACCCUAAUAUUUCAAUAUAUGUAUUUAUGUUAUGCGUGUGUAUAAUGUGUGUUUGUAUGUAUGCUUGUUUGUACUGCAGUUUUGUGGGGUAUCGUGCAGGUGCUUGUAGCCAUAGUGAGGACGUGGUGACUGCUCUUAUUGUGCUGUUUGCCCCUGUGCCCAUCACCCUACUGCUGGUAGGGCUGGUCUUCUUCCACCUGUACCCCAUCAACGAGGAUCGACUCCUCCAGCUCCAGAGAGCGCUAGGAAGAGAUGUUGAAGCCAUAGAUUCAACUGAUAUAGAAGAGAAGAUAGGAUCACACAUUCAUCAGUCAAGACACCAAACACAUGAGUCCAGUCUGAAGUCAUGUGAUGAACGUGGUACCUUCAGCAUUCGGAGGUCUUGGCUGAUUUUUGAUUUCCCCAUGACGUCAAGCACAGAGG